AACCAUUCUCACCUGCGGCUAGACCUGCGGAGGGAUCAUUACUGAGUUUUCAACUCUCCAAACCAUGUGAACUUACCACUGUUGCCUCGGUGGACUGGUGCUGCUCCCUCUCGGGGGUGCGGUGCUGCCGCCGGCGGACAAACUAAACUCUUGUUAAUUUUGGGCAUUCUGAAUCAAAUCAAGAAAUAAGUUAAAACUUUCAACAACGGAUCU
rnacentral:misc_RNA from 1 species